CUUCGGGGUGCCCAGGCGCGAAACCUUUGCAAUACACGAAAGUGUGACAGGGUCAUCCCGAGUGCCGACCGCUGAGGUUGGCUUUUACCCAGUCUAGAAAGCUGGGGGAAUAAGGAGAGGGCAAGUCUGGUGUCAGCCGCCGCGGUAAUACCAGCUCUCCGAGUGGUGUGGACGUUUAUUGGGCCUAAAGCAUCCGUAGCUGGCUGAACAAGUCCCCUGUUAAACCCACCGAUUUAAUCGUUGGCUUGCGGGGGAUACUGCUCGGCUAGGGGACGAGAGAGGCAGACGGUAUUCCCGGGGUAGGGGUGAAAUCCUAUAAUCCCGAGAAGACCACCAGUGGCGAAGGCUGUCUGCUAGAACGCGCCCGACGGUGAGGGAUGAAAGCUGGGGGAGCGAACCGGAUUAGAUACCCGGGUAGUCCCAGCUGUAAACGAUGCAGACUAGGUGUUUGGACGGCCACGUGCCGUUCUAGUGCCGCAGGGAAGCUGUUAAGUCUGCCGCCUGGGGAGUACGAUCGCAAGAUUGAAACUUAAAGGAAUUGGCGGGGGAGCAC
rnacentral:rRNA from 1 species